rnacentral:rRNA from 1 species
GUCCACGCCGUAAACGAUGGGUGCUAGGUGUGGGGAGUGUCGACUCUCUCUGUGCCGAAGCUAACGCAUUAAGCACCCCGCCUGGGGAGUACGGCCGCAAGGCUAAAACUCAAAGGAAUUGACGGGGCCCGCACAAGCAGCGGAGCAUGUGGUUUAAUUCGACGCAACGCGAAGAACCUUACCAGGGCUUGACAUGCACGGGAAUGUCAUAGAAAUAUGGCAGCCCUUCGGGGCUCGUGCACAGGUGGUGCAUGGCUGUCGU